AGUUUCAUAAUGACAGAAUACUUUUAAUGGCAGAACUGUCUGUUUUUACCACAUGGCUAUUUGCAAUAAUGACUUUACUUCUUCCCUCCUUGCAUGGGCCUAGGUGCCACCAUGCUACUAGUUGUGACUAGUGUGAUAGAAGUUGAAGUGGUGUGUGCAGCACUGGGGACAGUCUUCUAAGGAAAUGACUCACCAUUCUUGUACUUCCCCCUGUUGGUUGAAAUCAGACCUGCCAUGCCAGGCUCCAAAAGGAAGGCAGAACCCAAGUGAAGGAGCAGGGUUCUUGAUACUGAAAUACCACAAUCAGCCCCAGAUUUCCAAGAAGAGAGAGAGAGAGAGAGAGAGAGAGAGAGAGAGAGAGAGAGAGAGAGAGAGAGACCAAGGAUAAGCCACCAUCAUCAGAAGUUGUGUUGAUACUCAGCCAGCAUCACUCCUGCUUAGUACUCACCAACAUCUGCAGAGCCUUGUUCCAAUGACCUGCUCACUGGUCCUCUGUUCUGCUCAUCUAACCCACAAGGUGGAUGUUUCUGUGAUGAACUUAGCCCUGCCUGAAUCAUUCCAGCUGCCUCCCUACUUUAAGAUUAUCUGAGUGCCACUCCUAUCCCUUUGAGAUAUGCUGUCUUCUAGGUUCCUGUUCUGCUUCCAAGAAGAUCCCAAGUGUAGGGAUGGAGCUAUAGGAACUCUUCCAUCUCACUGUACCUGUUUCAUUGUUUCCCUGCUGUGCAUGAAGGUGGAUAGUCUGCAAAGAGAAUUACGGCGUGGGUUCGAAUAAUUGUUUCAUCUUCAGAAACCUCACUUUAUUGAUGAUAAAGUCAUCUCUGGAUGCACCAUAGCUACCUCACUGUGGUGGGUGUCAGAAGAGGAACCUGAUUGGAGGAUGCUGUAGCAGCUGAUCACAGUGUCUGCAAGCACAGACUAACCCAACAUCACAGAAGAGGAAGUGCAAAAGCUUCGAAGGGUCCUUUCCAGAUGAAUUGCCCACAACACACGACUUCCCAUUAUAUUUCAGCACCAUGCACAUUGCACUCAUAUGUUACAUCCCAGAACCAAGGAAGAAAAGAUUUGUUUUUUUCUUUUAUGAAUAAAAUAAGCAUCUUUAACAUGACCCAAUAAAGCAAAACAACAACAAAAAUGGCGGCUCACUGUUGCUAGUAUACUAUGUAGAAUGGGAAGGAGUCUCUGUUACUCAUGAAUGUUAGUACUCAUGACAGAAUAUCUUUGGAAUUUUGGAGAUGCAGAGUGUCACAAAUAGGUAUUUCAGAGUGCAUGCCUCUACCUGAGAGAACUGAGAGCUGAGAGAGAAGUCUGUAAUCAAAUCUCCUGAAACAUGACAGAUGCUGUUAGUCAGGGGUGGGAGUUCAGGCUUGUAAUACAAGCAUUAUGGAGGCUGAGGUAGGGGGGAUAAUGGAUUAAAGAUAACCUGGGGUAUAUAGUGGGACCCCAUCUUUAAAAAAAAAAAAAGUCCUGCUGGACAGCUGUAGUGCCCUCCUUUAAUCCCAGCACUUGGGAGGCAGAGGCAGAUGGAUCUCUGUAAGUUUGAGUCCAGCAUGGUCUACAAGAGCUAGUUCCAGGACAGGUUCCAAAGCUACACGGAGAAAGCCUGUCUUGAAAAACAACACAAAGUCCUUAUAUUGUAUAUGAAGCCAAGAGGUAAUAAUUAUAGUGAUUCCUUUUGUAUCAAAUAAACAACCAACUCCAUCACAUAAUUACUUAGUAGAACACUCAAGAAGCUACUCCCUCAAGGUGCAUAUUCAGUUGAAUACAAGAGUUAAGAAAUGGCAAAAGCAGGAAUUAGGGAAGGAAGCAUGCUCUGAGAGACCACAAGAUAAGGGGGUCAUGAAAAGGAAUUUAAGCACCAAAGCAAACUUCCUCAAAAAGGUGUAUCACAGAAUGACCACUAGUCAAAAGAUAACAGAGCAGGAAAAUCUCAGAAGCCCACCCAAAGUAGUUCAUGGUAAAUUUUUAGAUUUUUAAAAUCAUUGUAUCUGAAAAUCAAGGUUGGUUUCUAUGAGAGUAAAAAUCGUUUUUACACACAUGUGCAAACACAUACAGGAUGCAAUGAUCAAGAGUGUUAAACAAGAACUAAACAUUAACUCAGUAUCUGAGAAAACGGUAAUUAUUAUAUACAGGUAAGGACCAGUGACUGUGGGAUGUGUGGCACUCAUUGGGAAAAAUGCAAAUAUAGAUGAAACUAACACAGUUUCCCCCCAGAAAGGCACAUCACUAAAGAAUACCUUUUAAAAGGUAACAGAGUGGGGCUGGGAAGAUGGAUCCAGGUUAAGAGCACUUGCUGUUCUUCCAG
rnacentral:lncRNA from 1 species